rnacentral:lncRNA from 1 species
AAUUUCCUGCUAGCAAAGGAGUAAUUACGCUCUGGGUUCGGAGAAAGAGAGCGCGGUAGAACAAAAGAGAAUUGCCACCAAUGAGUUUUACGGUUGGCAGUAAAUAUGUUUUUGUUGGUAUGGUUGGUUUAUUGACAGUAGUUACAAACUUAAAAAAAUGGGUUUGGAAAACAUACCAAAAGGACUUACUUAGCACAUUAAAGAAAAUUUGCUUAAAUGCGAACUCUCAACAUUUGAGUGAUUCAUUGCAGGCAUUUGAGAAAAAAAAUUGACUCACCAGUUUGAAAAACGCCAUUUUUUGUUUUUUGACACAAAGGUGACUGCGUAAUGGCGAAUGGAACAGCGACGUGUGGUGGGACCCAUAGAUUAACUAAGUGGGACCGGUGGGUACCAUUGGACUCUGCUCCAGUGAAUUAAUUCCAUAGAUUGCCUCACAUCAGAUGUCAGCUUCCUUCAGAGGAAAUCUGCCCAACUGUGACACCACAACUGUUCAAUAGCAGAGAGAGAAGCACCUACAAUUUUGUAUUGGUAUUUUGAUUUUCCGCAAUAUUUUUAUCAAAUUACCGUAUUUCCAUGUUGCGAUACCGCAUCAAAGCAGUCGAUUUUUCUCUGCCGAAGGAGAGGUUGCUUAGUUAUUCAUCACGAUGCGAAUUUAUCGUCUCUUUGGGUGAAGCAUUUCUCUACCGCGCAUUGCAAAAAGCGAGAAAAUGUCGGACCACUGUGGGGAAUUUGCGAUUUCUUAUCUUAAUCGAGAAGGAAGAAAUGUGUUAUUUCUGCAUUUCCCAGUUCCUUCGGCGCAAAUAGCGAAAUUAACCAAUCAAAU